GACGAACGCUGGCGGCGUGCUUAACACAUGCAAGUCGAACGGUAAGGCCCUUCGGGGUACGCGAGUGGCGAACGGGUGAGUAACACGUGGGUGAUCUGCCCUGCACUUCGGGAUAAGCCUGGGAAACUGGGUCUAAUACCGGAUAGGACCACUGCCUGCAUGGGUGGUGGUGGAAAGCUUUUGCGGUGUGGGAUGGGCCCGCGGCCUAUCAGCUUGUUGGUGGGGUGAUGGCCUACCAAGGCGACGACGGGUAGCCGGCCUGAGAGGGUGACCGGCCACACUGGGACUGAGAUACGGCCCAGACUCCUACGGGAGGCAGCAGUGGGGAAUAUUGCACAAUGGGCGCAAGCCUGAUGCAGCGACGCUGCGUGAGGGAUGACGGCCUUCGGGUUGUAAACCUCUUUCAGCACCGACGAAGCGCAAGUGACGGUAGGUGCAGAAGAAGGACCGGCCAACUACGUGCCAGCCGCCGCCGUAACAC
rnacentral:rRNA from 1 species